AUGUGGUUUAUACAUAAACAAGUAAUCUUGACCAAGGAUAAUUUGAUAAAGCGUAACUGGACAGGACCUACUAGAUGUAGCUUCUACGAUCGGGAUGAAACCAUCAAACACCUUUUUCUUGAGUGCCAGUUGGCAAAAGUCUUAUGGCGGACGGUCUAUAUUGUCUUUAAUAUUACUCCUCCGAGUUCUGUCAGCACGUUAUUUGAAACGUGGCUUAACGGGAUAGAGUCCGAAACAGCACGACACAUUCACGUAGGAGCAUGUGCUUUAUUAUGGGCAGUAUGGAACUGCAGAAAUGAUUUGGUUUUCAACAGAGCAACAAAUAUUCAUUUUUUACAGGUUAUCUUCCGAGCCACUGCGUUGAUCCGUAUGUGGUCGCUACUCACUCCGACGGAGGCCAGGGAGCGUUUGGUUACUGGAUCUAUCCGAUGGGAGAUGGUAGCACGGGAUAUCUUCAACCGGUUUGGAUGA
rnacentral:rRNA from 1 species